GCGUUGUUCGGAUUUACUGGGCGUAAAGGGCGCGUAGGCGGCGUGACAAGUCACUUGUGAAAUCUCCGGGCUUAACUCGGAACGGUCAAGUGAUACUGUUGUGCUAGAGUACAGAAGGGGCAAUCGGAAUUCUCGGUGUAGCGGUGAAAUGCGUAGAUAUCGAGAGGAACACCAGAGGCGAAGGCGGAUUGCUGGGCUGAUACUGACGCUGAGGCGCGAAAGCUAG
rnacentral:rRNA from 1 species